CAGCCGCCGCGGUAAUCCGAAGGGGGCUAGCGCUGUUCGGAAUUACUGGGCGUAAAGCGCACGUAGGCGGAUAUUUAAGUCAGGGGUGAAAUCCCAGAGCUCAACUCUGGAACUGCCUUUGAUACUGGGUAUCUUGAGUAUGGAAGAGGUGAGUGGAAUUCCGAGUGUAGAGGUGAAAUUCGUAGAUAUUCGGAGGAACACCAGUGGCGAAGGCGGCUCACUGGUCCAUUACUGACGCUGAGGUGCGAAAGCGUGGGGAGCAAACAGGAUUAGAUACCCCUGUAGUCCCUGUCUCUUAUAC
rnacentral:rRNA from 1 species